GACGAACGCUGGCGGCGUGCCUAAUACAUGCAAGUUGAGCGCUGAAGGUUGGUACUUGUGCCAACUGGAUGAGCAGCGCACGGGUGAGUAACGCGUGGGGAAUCUGCCUUUGAGCGGGGGACAACCUUUGGAAACGAAUGCUAAUACCGCAUAAAAACUUUAAACACAAGUUUUAAGUUUGAAAUAUGCAAUUGCAUCACUCAAAGAUGAUCCCGCGUUGUAUUAGCUAGUUGGUGAGGUAAAGGCUCACCAAGGCGAGGAUACAUAGCCGACCUGAGAGGGUGAGCGGCCACAGUGGGAGGGAGACACGGCACAAAGGCCUAGGGGAGGCGGCAGGAGGGAAUCGGCGGGAAGGGACGAAAGACUGAGCGAGCAGGGCGGCGGGAGGGAAGAAGGUUGUCGGAUCGGAAAACUCGGUUGGUAGGGAAGAACGUUGGUGAGAGUGGAAAGCUCAGCGAGUGACGGUAACGACCCAGAAAGGGACGGCUAACUACGUG
rnacentral:rRNA from 1 species